rnacentral:rRNA from 1 species
AUUGAACGCUGGCGGCAGGCCUAACACAUGCAAGUCGAGCGGCAGCGGGAAAGUAGCUUGCUACUUUUGCCGGCGAGCGGCGGACGGGUGAGUAAUGCCUGGGAAAUUGCCCAGUCGAGGGGGAUAACAGUUGGAAACGACUGCUAAUACCGCAUACGCCCUACGGGGGAAAGCAGGGGACCUUCGGGCCUUGCGCGAUUGGAUAUGCCCAGGUGGGAUUAGCUAGUUGGUGAGGUAAUGGCUCACCAAGGCGGCGAUCCCUAGCUGGUUUGAGAGGAUGAUCAGCCACACUGGAACUGAGACACGGUCCAGACUCCUACGGGAGGCAGCAGUGGGGAAUAUUGGACAAUGGGCGCAAGCCUGAUCCAGCCAUGCCGCGUGUGUGAAGAAGGCCUUCGGGUUGUAAAGCACUUUCAGUAGGGAGGAAGAGUUGAGUGUUAAUAGUACUCAGCUUUGACGUUACCUACAGAAGAAGCACCGGCUAACUCUGUGCCAGCCGCCGCCGUAAGAC